CCUACGGGAGGCAGCAGUGAGGAAUAUUGGUCAAUGGACGGAAGUCUGAACCAGCCAUGCCGCGUGCAGGAAGACGGCUCUACGAGUUGUAAACUGCUUUUGUACAAGGGACAAACUGAAGACGUGUAUCCAGCUGAAAGUACUGUAAGAAUAAGGAUCGGCUAACUCCGUGCCAGCAGCCGCGGUAAUAAGGAGGAUACCAGGGUUAUCCGGAUUUAUUGGGUUUAAAGGGGGCGUAGGCGGUCGGUUAAGUUAGAGGUGAAAUCCCGAGGCUCAACUUCGGCAUUGCCUUUGAUACUGUUCGGCUAGAGAGUAGUUGCGGUAGGCGGAAUGUAUGGUGUAGCGGUGAAAUGCUUAGAGAUCGUACAGAACCCCGAUUGCGAAGGCAGCUUACCAAGCUACUUCUGACGUUGAGGCACGAAAGCGUGGGGAGCAAACAGGAUUAGAUACCCCUGUAGUC
rnacentral:rRNA from 1 species